rnacentral:rRNA from 1 species
GACGGAGGGGGCAAGCGUUGUUCGGAAUUAUUGGGCGUAGAGGGCUCGUAGGCGGACCUGUAAGUUUGACGUGAAAUCUCCACCGCUCACCGGGGAGGGGCCGUUGAAUACUGCAGGUCUGGAGUUCGGCAGAGGACCAUGGAAUUCCAGGUGUAGCGGUGGAAUGCGUAGAUAUCUGGAAGAACACCGGUGGCGAAGGCGGUGGUCUGGGCCUGAACUGACGCUGAGGAGCGAAAGCCAGGGGAGCAAACGGG